rnacentral:tRNA from 1 species
AUUCACUUGGUAUUGUUUGUUUGAAUGCGAUGGCGUUUGAAGCGAAAGGUGCUGGGUUCGAGUCCCAGAGUGAACA